rfam:Pantoea sp. PSNIH2, complete genome.
GCUUAUUCUCAGGGCGGGGCGAAAUUCCCCACCGGCGGUAAAUCAGCAUCAGCUGAAAGCCCGCGAGCGCUUCCGGUCUCCCGAUCGGAAGGUCAGCAGAUCCGGUGUGAUUCCGGGGCCGACGGUUAAAGUCCGGAUGGGAGAGGAUAACG